rfam:Daucus carota subsp. sativus cultivar DH1 chromosome 8, whole genome shotgun sequence.
AUUCCAUGGUGAGGACAUUGCCUUUGAAGGCGUUUGAAUCUUUUCCAAGCAUCAUGUAGUGAUUCAUCAUCUUCUUGACGAAAAUUAGAUAUGUCAUUCCUUAGCUU